UUUUUUUUUUUUCAAAUAAGCUGCACUUUAACUAAAGUACUGUAAAAUUUUAGCGAUUUCUGUAAUUUAGUUCUUUUUUUUAUUUCACCUCUAUUUCUCUUAUUAGUUCAACAGAAAAAAAGUACCUUUACACAUAUGUUUGCUUCUUUCGGAGGCAGAUGGUGAGCUUAAAUGAAUGGUGACCCCACUUUUUUUAUUUUAUUUUUCUAUUAAGUAUAUGAUAAAGUUCAUUUAUAGAAAAAUAUAGCGAAAUCCUAGAUUAAAAAAAAAAUUUAUACCCACAAGCCCUCUUAAACAGCUUAUUUCCCAUUAUGCUAUACCAGAUCCUAUAUUAUUGGCAUAGAAUAAGUAUUUCAGUUUAUAUUUUUGAAAAUAUGCUUUUUAACCAACAUUUGGAAAGUGGAAAAUAUAACAGUUUGAGUUUAUACUGUGUGUAUUCUAAAAACUAUGUCUUAACAUGUUGAAAUAUGAAAAUCAUUGUUGGUGUAAAAGAUUUAUUUUGAUAGUGG
rnacentral:lncRNA from 1 species